rnacentral:rRNA from 1 species
AGAGCGAACGCUGGCGGCAGGCUUAACACAUGCAAGUCGAGCGGACGUAGCAAUACGUCAGCGGCAGACGGGUGAGUAACGCGUGGGAACGUACCUUUUGGUUCGGAACAACACAGGGAAACUUGUGCUAAUACCGAAUACGCCCUUACGGGGAAAGAUUUAUCGCCGAAAGAUCGGCCCGCGUCUGAUUAGCUAGUUGGUGGGGUAACGGCCCACCAAGGCGACGAUCAGUAGCUGGUCUGAGAGGAUGAUCAGCCACAUUGGGACUGAGACACGGCCCAAACUCCUACGGGAGGCAGCAGUGGGGAAUAUUGGACAAUGGGCGCAAGCCUGAUCCAGCCAUGCCGCGUGAGUGAUGAAGGCCCUAGGGUUGUAAAGCUCUUUUGUGCGGGAAGAUAAUGACGGUACCGCAAGAAUAAGCCCGGCUAACUUCGUGCCAGCAGCCGC